GUUUGUAGACUUCACUGAUUCAGACCACCUGAAGCUCCUCAGGUACUGCAGCACAAAAUGGCUAAGUCUGUUAACCUGCAUCCAGAGGGUGCUGAACCAGUGGGAUGCACUACAGGCCUACUUUAACAGUCAUGAGGAAGUAGAGAGGAGUGUUAAAGUGUGUGAUCUGGCAAGCCAUCUGCGUGAUCCAAUCAUGAAGACAUAUUUCCUGUUCCUGAGUGCUAAAUUCAGCCUUUAUCUGAAUUUAACAUUGCCUUCCAGUCAGAGGGAGUACAAAUUCACGGACUUGAAGAGGAGAUGUGCAGGCUGAUAAAGAGGAUCCUGGGCUACCUCAUACCAGCCAGGGCAAUCGUGGGUGUACCUCUCAGGGAGGUGGAGUAUGGAGAUGAACAUCAGUUGGCUGAUGAAGAUCUCUUUAUCGGAGCAGACACAAAGGCAUUCAUGAGAAGCGCUGAGCUCCCUGUGUCAGCCGAGAAGAAAAUCUUUCAAACUGUGAGAAGCUUCUAUGAGGCAGUGCUUAAGAAGAUGUUCUCUACCUUUCCCCUCGACCAUCCACUCCUGAGGGACCUGAAAGUGCUGGACCCUGCAGCUCGCCUUAACAUAACUCCAGGGACAGUGGAAAGGCUAGGGGCCCUGUUCCCCCAGUUGAGGCUGAAAGAGGAUAAGAUGAGGGAGGAAUUCACAGACUAUCAGGUGACAGAUAGCAAGCAACUCCCCCAAGAAGACAGAAUCGACAAAUUUUGGGGCCUGGUAGGAAAGGACAUGAGGUUCAGUGAGCUGCCAAAACUUAUGAAGGCUUUACUAUGCAUUCCCCAUAGCAAUGCAAGUUCAGAAAGGGUGUUUAGCAUGGUACGAAAAAUUGUUACAGAGAAUAGGAUGUCGUUAGACAACAGAACUGUUUGCGCUCUACUCUCAUGUAAAAUUAACCACUCUGGCUCAGCCCACAAAUACACUCCUUCCAAAACAGUCUUAAAGAAUGCAAAGUCAGCAACAAAUGAGUACAAUAAGUCACUAAAAGAGUAAAGAAAAGUUAUGUGAAAUGAAAAGAAAAACUACAAAAAAGCAAUAUGAAAUGAAUGAGUGUGUGAAUGUGAAAAGAAUGUGGAAUGAAAAUGAAAUGUAAAUGUAAAGACAAGCAAUGUUAAAUGAACAGAAAAUAUGCAAAUAAGCCUUUAAAUAAA